rnacentral:rRNA from 1 species
UACAGAGGGUGCAAGCGUUGUUCGGAAUUAUUGGGCGUAAAGAGCUCGUAGGCGGUCUGUCACGUCGGCUGUGAAAACCCGAGGCUCAACCUCGGGCCUGCAGUCGAUACGGGCAGACUAGAGUUCGGUAGGGGAGACUGGAAUUCCUGGUGCAGCGGUGAAAUGCGCAGAUAUCAGGAGGAACACCGGUGGCGAAGGCGGGUCUCUGGGCCGAAACUGACGCUGAGGAGCGAAAGCGUGGGGAGCGAACAGG